CCUACGGGUGGCAGCAGUGGGGGAUAUUGCACAAUGGGGGAAACCCUGAUGCAGCGACGCCGCGUGGGCGAAGAAGUAUUUCGGUAUGUAAAGCCCUAUCAGCCGGGAAGCAGAUAUGCCGGUACCUGAGUAAGACGCACCGGCUAAAUACGUGCCAGCAGCCGCGGUCAUACGUAUGGUGCACGCGUUAUCCGGCAUUACUGGGGGUAAAGGGAGCGCAGGCGGCACGGUAAGGCUGCUGGGAAAGACCGCGGCACCAACGCGGGACUGCAUUUGGAACUGCCGGGAUGGAGUGCCGGAGAGGUAGGCGGAAGGCCUGGUGUAGCGGUGAAAUGCGUAGAUAUGAGGAGGAACACCAGUGGCGAAGGCAGCCUACUGGAGGGUGACUGACGCUGAGGCUCGAAAGCGUGGGGAGCAAACAGGAUUAGAUACCCGAGUAGUC
rnacentral:rRNA from 1 species